rnacentral:rRNA from 1 species
GACAGAGGAUGCAAGCGUUAUCCGGAAUGAUUGGGCGUAAAGCGUCUGUAGGUGGCUUUUUAAGUCCGCCGUCAAAUCCCAGGGCUCAACCCUGGACAGGCGGUGGAAACUACCAAGCUGGAGUACGGUAGGGGCAGAGGGAAUUUCCGGUGGAGCGGUGAAAGUGCGUAGAGAUCGGAAAGAACACCAACGGCGAAAGCAACUCUGCUGGGCCGACACUGACACUGAGAAGCGAAAGCAUGGGGAGCGAACAGGA